rnacentral:rRNA from 1 species
GGAAUUUUCCGCAAUGGGGGAAACCCUGACAGAGCAAUACCGCGUGAGGGAUGACUGCCUACGGGUUGUAAACCUCUUUUCUCAAGGAAGAAGAUCUGACGGUACUUGAUGAAUAAGCCACGGCUAAUUCCGUGCCAGCAGCCGCGGUAAUACGGGAGUGGCAAGCGUUAUCCGGAAUUAUUGGGCGUAAAGCGUCCGCAGGCGGUCUGUCAAGUCUGCUGUUAAAGCGUGGAGCUUAACUCCAUUUCGGCAGUGGAAACUGACAGACUAGAGUGUGGUAGGGGCAGAGGGAAUUCCCGGUGUAGCGGUGAAAUGCGUAGAUAUCGGGAAGAACACCAGUGGCGAAGGCGCUCUGCUGGGCCAUAACUGACGCUCAUGGACGAAAGCCAGGGGAGCGAAAGGGAUUAGAUACCCCUGUAGUC